CCCUUGUACACACCGCCCGUCACACCAUGGGAGUGGGUUGCACCAGAAGUAGCUAGUCUAACCUUCGGGGGGACGGUUACCACGGUGUGAUUCAUGACUGGGUG
rnacentral:rRNA from 1 species